rnacentral:rRNA from 1 species
AAGCUCGUAGUUGAAUUUCGGGAUCAAAUUGUCGGUCGUGCCUCGGUACGUACUGGCGUUACUGGUUCCUCCCUUCUGAAGAACCACGAUGUCAUUAAUUUGGUGUCGCGGGGAAUCAGGACUGUUACUUUGAAAAAAUUAGUGUUUAAAGCAGGCUCGCGCUUGAAUACAUUAGCAUGGAAUAAUGAAAGAGGACGUUUGAUUCUAUUUUGUUGGGUUCUAGGAUCGACGUAAUGAUUAAUAGGGAUAGUUGGGGGCAUUAGUAUUCAAUUGUCAGAGGUGAAAUUCUUGGAUUUAUUGAAGACUAACUACUGCGAAAGCAUUUGCCAAGGAUGUUUUCAUUAAUCAAGAACGAAAGUUAGGGGAUCGAAGAUGAUCAGAUACCGUCGUAGUCUUAACCAUAAACUAUGCCGACUAGGAAUCAGACGAUGUUAAUUUUUUAAUGACUCGUUUGGCACCUUACGGGAAACCAAAGUGUUUGGGUUCCGGGGGGAGUAUGGUCGCAAGGCUGAAACUUAAAGGAAUUGACGGAAGGGCACCACCAGGGGUGGAGCCUGCGGCUUAAUUUGACUCAACACGGGGAAACUCACCAGGUCCAGACAUAGUAAGGAUUGACAGAUUGAGAGCUCUUUCUUGAUUCUAUGGGUG